rnacentral:rRNA from 1 species
GGACUACUAGGGUAUCUAAUCCUGUUCGCUCCCCACGCUUUCGCUCCUCAGCGUCAGUUAUGGCCCAGAGACCCGCCUUCGCCACCGGUGUUCCUCCUGAUAUCUGCGCAUUUCACCGCUACACCAGGAAUUCCAGUCUCCCCUACCACACUCUAGUUUGCCCGUAUCGACUGCAGGCCCGGGGUUGAGCCCCGGGUUUUCACAGCCGACGCGACAAACCGCCUACGAGCUCUUUACGCCCAAUAAUUCCGGACAACGCUUGCACCCUACGUAUUACCGCGGCUGCUGGCAC